rnacentral:RNase_P_RNA from 5 species
AGAGUAGGCGAGGCAGUUGCAGAUUAGUUUGAAAAAACUAAUUUGAGGAAAGUCCGGGCUUCCCAAAGACCAAACUUGCUGGGUAACGCCCAGUGCGUGCGAGCGUGAGGAUAGUGCCACAGAAAAAUACCGCCAAUCAAUUUUAGAUUUAAAAUUUUGGAUUUUGGAUUGAAUUUAAAAUUUAAAAUCGCAAAUCCAAAAUUGUUUGGUAAGGGUGCAAAGGUGAGGUAAGAGCUCACCAGCAGCGUCGAGAGGCGCUGGCUCGGUAAACCCCGGUUGGAAGCAAGGUGAGAGGAACUAAGGUUGGUCUUUUACCAGUUCCGUUUUUGAGAGCCGCUUGAGGCGUUUGGUAACAAACGUCCCAGAUAGAUAACUGCCCUUGAACAGAACCCGGCUUAUGUCCGACUCUCUCC